rnacentral:lncRNA from 1 species
AGGAGAAUAUAAAAUGUGUAAUUCCGAAAUGAUGAACUAUCUGAAAGAUGUGGCAUCACCGCACCGUUGAACAGAAAAUCGCAUACAAUCAUUUCACCAUGUCCAACGUACCGUUCUGCUCACUGCUGACGUCAUCGUGCUUGGCGGGAUGCCUCUAUAUUGGACUAGAGAUUCACUUUGCUUACCGUUGUUACUGAGUCCCACGUGUUGAUGUCCUUAAUUCUUUACGCUCUCAUGUUUGUGUUUGUUAAUAAUAUGUUAAAGAUACGAUUUAAAAAUUUCAUCAUUUAUUGUGGCGGUAUAUAAAAAUGUGAAGUGUAUGAAUUUACAGAAUUAAUUCAUUUCGGUAGUGUGGUAGCUUGUCUGACAAUACGAUAUGUGAACCGCUGUUACAGUGACCCUAACCUCAACCACUAUUGAGUGUAUUCUAUGUUCUCAACGAUUGUGGGGGAAAUAGGGGCUCGUUAGAAAUCCAGACAAUGAAUAUGGGAAAGGAGCCGGGUUAUCGUGUCUUUCAAAACUACACUGAAUGUCUCCGAUGCCACAGGAGAUACAAAUACAAGAAAAACUGUGUCCAACACAUACGUUUCCAGUGUUCCAGAAUACCUCAGUUUGUAUGCAGUAUCUGCAAUAAAAGUUACAGAUACAAAAGAGAUAUGAUCCAUCACGUAUCAGAGAAGCAUUUUUUCUCACAAUUGAGUAGCUGAUUGAGACGAGCAUUCCGGAUAUAUCUUAUUGAUGACGUGUAGUUGAUUUUGAAAUAUUUUAACUGUAUUAUUCUGGAAGGUAUAUUGUUUUUCCAAAUAA